CGCCAGUCCACUCGUUCUGUUUGAGCAACAAUCACCGCGGUCACCAUGAAGUUUUUACUACUGAUCUUCACUAUUUUCAUCGCGUUCGGGAUGGCAAUGGAUCAAACUCCAAUAUGUACUCGUAACUGUCAGGCGGAAUAUCUCCCAGUCUGCUCUACUGCCGGCGACACGUACAGCAAUAUUUGCUAUCUGAGAUGUGCACAAGCUGAGUAUCUACGCGAUGGAGUCUGUCCAUCUGAAUCAUAAGCGAUAUAUUCAUCCAGUUAUUCUGAUCUUAUAAUCUUCAGAAAUAUUAUACUUUUAUAUUGAAAUGUGAUUGCAAUGAAUAAAUACUUAUCAUUCAUCUGUCAUUAAUGAAGAUUUAUUGUUUGAUUGAAAAGGAAUAAAAAUAUAUAUUUGUUUUUAA